rnacentral:rRNA from 1 species
GACGUAGGGCGCGAGCGUUGUCCGGAUUUAUUGGGCGUAAAGAGCGUGUAGGCGGCCAGGUAGGUCUGGUGUGAAAACUCGAGGCUUAACCUCGAGAUGUCAUCGGAAACCAUCUGGCUAGAGUCCGGAAGAGGAGAGUGGAAUUCCUGGUGUAGCGGUGAAAUGCGUAGAUAUCGAGAGGAACACCUGCGGCGAAGGCGGGUUGCUGGGCUGAUACUGACGCUGAGGCGCGAAAGCCAGGGGAGCGAACGGG